CCUACGGGAGGCAGCAGUGGGGAAUUUUGGACAACGGGGGCAACCCUGAUCCAGCCAUCCCGCGUGUGCGAUGAAGGCCUUCGGGUUGUAAAGCACUUUUGGCAGGGAAGAAAAGCCGUGGGUUAAUACCCUGCGGCGCUGACGGUACCUGCAGAAUAAGCACCGGCUAACUACGUGCCAGCAGCCGCGGUAAU
rnacentral:rRNA from 1 species